rnacentral:rRNA from 1 species
AAUAAGCUAUUUAAGAGCGUAAGGUGGAUGCCUUGGCUCUCAGAGGCGAUGAGGGACGUGAUAAGCUGCGAUAAGCUACGGGGAUUGGCACACACAAUUUGAUCCGUAGAUUUCCGAAUGGGGCAACCCACUAUAUUGAAGAUAUAGUAUCCGUUAAGGAAGCAAACCCAGGGAACUGAAACAUCUAAGUACCUGGAGGAAUAGAAAACAAAAGUGAUUCCGCUAGUAGUGGCGAGCGAACGCGGAACAGCCCAAACCAAAAUUGUUUCGGCAAUUUUGGGGUUGUAGGACCACGACAUUGAAUGUUUAAUGAAUUAGAAUUCUUUGGAAAAAGAAACCAUAGAGGGUGAUAGUCCCGUAUAGUAAAGAGAAUUAUUCAUAGUGGUAUCCUGAGUAGCGCGGG